GACGAACCGAGCGAACGUUAUUCGGAAUCACUGGGCUUAAAGGGUGCGUAGGCGGGCACGCGAGUCAGGGGUGAAAUCCCACGGCCCAACCGUGGAAGUGCCUCUGAUACCGCGAGCCUCGAGGGGGAUAGGGGCGUGCGGAACUUCCGGUGGAGCGGUGAAAUGCGUAGAUAUCGGAAGGAACACCGGUGGCGAAAGCGGCGCGCUGGAUCCCUACUGACGCUGAGGCACGAAAGCCAGGGGAGCAAACGGG
rnacentral:rRNA from 2 species